UUUCAUAAUAAAAGAUUUAAAAAAAAAAAAAAGGUACGCCCGAUCUCGUCUGAUCUCGGAAGCUAAGCAGGGUCAGGCCUGGUUAGUACUUGGAUAGGAAACCGCCUGGGAAUACCAGGUGCUGUAAGCA
rnacentral:rRNA from 1 species